UGCGCAUGUGCGACAGAGCCGCAGGAGAGAAGCCAUGUGCGCAUGUGCGACAGAGGCAGAGACUGGAGUGACGCAGCCGCGAGCCAAGGAACGCCGGGAGCCCCGGGGAGCUGGACAAGGCAGGGACACAGUCUCGCCCGGAGCCUUCGGACUGAGUGCGGCUCUGAUUUGACUUAGCACUUGUGGCCUCCAGGACGGAGUGGUGCUUUUAAACCUUAAAUAGGCGCACACCCCACGCCAUGCUGUCAAGGGCUCUCAGCCCCCCGCCACGUGUAUCUGGGAGAAGCUCCGAGGUUCUUGCUACAGUGACGUCAUCCUUUCUAACAGCUGCAGGUAGGCCCCUGUGGGACCCUCCCAUCCCUUAUGUGACGAACCCUCACUGUUGGACACUCAAGUUCUCUCCAGCUUUUCUCCUUGGUGCUAGAAAAUCACUCACUCCAGGCUUCAUUGCAACAGACAGAUCCUGCACUGCUUGUUCCUUUGGGGGCCUCAUCCUCCAGGAAGCCGUCCCUGACCUCCCAGGCUGAGCUGGCACCCCUCUGCAGCCCCCAUUCUACCCUCUGCUGCAGCGUGCGCCCCACUGUGCGGUCACGGCCUGUUUAUGGCCUCAGGCUGCAGCUCCCUGAGGGCAUUGUUAGAAGGACCAGAAAGCAGUUGAAGUGUGCAAAGUGAGGACAAGGCCCCGGAAACACCAGUCUACUCUCUACGGAUUUACCGAUUUUGGACAUUUCAUACAAUGAAAUCAUAUAAUAUGCCGGCUUUUGUGACUGACUUCUUUCACCGAGCAAAGUGUC
rnacentral:lncRNA from 1 species